rnacentral:lncRNA from 1 species
UAUCACAUCAACAGGAAAGGUAACUAAGACAGUGUGUGGAGAAUCACUGUGAGCUCUACUUUAACACUGGACCGGGGGAUAGCAACUUUCUCAAACUUAAAAAGACCUAAGGAGGCUGGCUCACUUCCAGUGCAGGGAGGAAAGGAAGUAGCUGAGAACCAGGAAGAGUAAGAAGGCAAGAAAGUCCAGGUGUGAGAAACAGCAGGAUCACUGCAGUAGGUGCAGAGUGGGGAGCUACAGAGAAGGGGCGGCAAAGGCUCCAGAGAAAACUCAUUAAGAACUACCCUCAAAAUCUGAGAAGAAAAUCCCCAAACAAAGACUGUAUGUAUGGAUGUUCAGAACUGCCUGCAGCCCAGCAAGGGUGUGGAGAUGGAGUGGCCUGGUAAUGAACCACAAGUUCGCAUUAGAUCAAGGAGAAGAGCAUCACUCUUCUAGCCUCAGAAAGACUCUAUCCUAUGGAGGUUAAUUUAGGUUACAUUACCAUAGAUGGAGUCUCAGUCCAAACCCAGGAUGUCCUCAAAACUCACGAUCCUCUUGCCUCAACCUCCUGUAGCCUGGGAUUAUAGACACGGACCUUCGCACAUUGAUUGACUACACUCAGUCUUAAUUCUCUUGUUCCUGAAUGAGGUAAUGCUGGGAUGAUAUGCAGAUAAAUAGACUUUAGAAAAAAAAGUUUUAAGGCAAGGUUUCAUGCUGUACCCCAGGCUUGCCUGGAACCCACUUUAUAUUCUAGGCUGGCCUUGAAUUCACAGCCAUUUCCUUCUCUAGACUUCUACGUGCUAGAACUGCAGGUAUGGCCUUUCACACCCAGCCCCAGAUGAAAAAGAAUUUUAACCUAAUUUAGAAAAAAAA